ensembl:lncRNA
GGCUGAGUUGCUGGCAUCAGCCAAGGGUACACAAAGGUACCAGCUGAAAGGUCUUCCACCCAGAAGACUGCAGGCCAGCUCUGAUUCCUGAGAUUUCUUGAAAGGGAAAACAGUAUACAUGUUGACCCUUGAGUUCUGCAGAAACAGCACUUGGUGAUCCAGGCGCAGUUGGUAGAGCAACUUCUUGCUCUGUCUCCUUUACCAUCAAUGACAUCUGGCAUUUAGUAACCCAGGGUAGUCCUGGGUAUAUUAGUUCCAAAUGGCAGCACUCUGUCCCUCCUCAGAGGGUCUUCGUAACUGGAAAUUUUGGGUUGUUCAUCGUUCACUUGCUGUUUAUUCGACAAAUAUCUGUAGAGUGAGUUGAUACAAAGAUAAGAAAGAAAUCUUUCAUAGCUUCAAUUUUAGCAGAAGAUCUAGCGCAUUAUGUAUCUUUAAUACACUUUUUAGAGGAAUAAGUAAAUGAAUGAAGGAAUGUUAAAUUUGUGGGUCUUGAUAUUACUUGUAGAAAAGAAACUCAGCAUUUUCAGACAAUAGGGUAAUUAACUUCAGUUACACUGCAUUGAUUAGCUGCACUGAACAUCUUUCUACACUAGAUAGUAUUUCUUAGAUGGCAUUCACUCUGGGAUUUCUUGUCUGGCUGGUCAUGGAGAAUAAGAAUCAGCAACAUCUUUGUCUUUGAGUAUUACUAGAGGGCUUUUGGGCACCACUCACAGAGCCAAGGCACUCACAGAAGAGAGUAAAGGAGAAUGAGAAAGCAAG